GAUGAACGCUGGCGGCGUGCCUAAUACAUGCAAGUCGAGCGAACAGACGAGGAGCUUGCUCCUCUGACGUUAGCGGCGGACGGGUGAGUAACACGCGGAUAACCUACCUAUAAGACUGGGAUAACUUCGGGAAACCGGAGCUAAUACCGGAUAAUAUAUUGAACCGCAUGGUUCAAUAGUGAAAGACGGUUUUGCUGUCACUUAUAGAUGGAUCCGCGCCGCAUUAGCUAGUUGGUAAGGUAACGGCUUACCAAGGCAACGAUGCGUAGCCGACCUGAGAGGGUGAUCGGCCACACUGGAACUGAGACACGGUCCAGACUCUUACGGGAGGCAGCAGUAGGGAAUCUUCCGCAAUGGGCGAAAGCCUGACGGAGCAACGCCGCGUGAGUGAUGAAGGUCUUCGGAUCGUAAAACUCUGUUAUUAGGGAAGAACAAAUGUGUAAGUAACUAUGCACGUCUUGACGGUACCUAAUCAGAAAGCCACGGCUAACUACGUG
rnacentral:rRNA from 1 species